AUUGAAAGAAUUGGAAGAUUGGCUUAUCGUUUAGAUUUGCCAAAUAACUUGGGAAAGGUGCAUAAUGUGUUCCAUGUAUCCCAACUAAAGAGAUAUGUGCCCGAUAAGUCUCACGUAUUAGAUCCCGAGAUUAUAGAAGUGGAUGAGACGCUUUCUUUUGAAGAGAGACCAGUAAAGAUCUUGGACUCUAAGGUGAGGAGUACAAGAAAUAAAGAUAUAAAGAUACUCAAGGUUUUGUGGUCUAACCAGCGUACCGAAGAGGCUACCUGGGAGGCUGAAGACGAGAUGAGAAAGAAGUAUCCUGAGCUCUUCGACUAGGUGAGUUGAGUUCCGGGACGUAACUCCUUUAAGGGGGGUAGAGUGCGUGCGCGCAUUUUGCUAGAAAUUAGUAAGAAUUUGUUGCAUUUGUGCACUAUUUUUAGAGUUUUCAAGGAAAACUUUUCAAGCAAAGAAGAUCUUGCAAUUAUCAAAGGGAAGCAAAGAGGUUUCAAGAAUAAUUAAAGCCAGUCAAACUUUUGACUGUUGAUUUUGUGUAAUCAAGAGUUUAGAGAAGAAGUUGCAGGUACAAGUUCUUGAUGUGCAUGGAAAUCAUAAGCAUCCGGAUGGGAGUUUUAGUACACGAGUACUUUCUUAUUUAAGUUAUCUUGAAUUUUAUAUUUGACUUUACUUGACCAAUGGGGUCAAGGUUUGACUUUUGAAAUGGGACUAGUAUGGGAUAGUCUCGGAGUUUGUAAUUCAUUUACAUGCUUUCUUAUUUCUAUUGUAUUAAAGUAUUUUCAGUUUA